rnacentral:rRNA from 1 species
CGAAAUUACUGGGGUAAAGGCAGCAGGCGGCUUGUUAAGCCAGAUGUGAAAGUCGGGGCUCAACUGGGAAUGCAUUUGGAAGGCAGGUAGAGUCUUGUAGAGGGGGGAGAAUUUCAGGUGUAGCGUGAAAUGCGUAGAGAUCGAAGGAAUACCGGUGGGAAGGCGGCCCCCUGGACAAAGACGACGCUCAGAUGGAAAGCGUGGGGAGCAAACAGGAUAGAUACCCUGGUAGUCCACGCCGUAAACGAUGUUACUUGGAGGUUGGUGUCUUGAACACUGGCUUUCGGAGCUAACGCGUUAAGUAGACCGCCUGGGGAGUACGGUCGCAAGAUUAAAACUCAAAUGAAUUGACGGGGGCCCGCACAAGCGGUGGAGCAUGUGGUUUAAUUCGAUGCAACGCGAAGAACCUUACCUACUCUUGACAUCCACGGAAUCCUGCAGAGAUGCGGGAGUGCCUUCGGGAACCGUGAGACAGGUGCUGCAUGGCUGUCGUCAGCUCGUGUUGUGAAAUGUUGGGUUAAGUCCCGCAACGAGCGCAACCCUUAUCCUUGUUUGCCAGCACUUCGGGUGGGAACUCCAGGGAGACUGCCGGUGAUAAACCGGAGGAAGGUGGGGACGACGUCAAGUCAUCAUGGCCCUUACGAGUAGGGCUACACACGUGCUACAAUGGCAUAUACAGAGGGCAGCAAGACCGCGAGGUGGAGCGAAUCCCACAAAGUAUGUCGUAGUCCGGAUUGGAGUCUGCAACUCGACUCCAUGAAGUCGGAAUCGCUAGUAAUCGUGGAUCAGAAGGCCACGGUGAAUACGUUCCCGGGCCUCUGCACA